UGACGCCUGACGCACGACGCCCUACGCGCGCCGCCUAGCAACGCGACGCCGCCGUUUCUAUAUAUCUACCUAACAUAGAGUCAUCUAAAACGCCAUAACACAUCCACGAACCUGUCUCAAACUUUGUUCAAAAUCAAAGACCCAAAGGGAGAUGAAUGCACUGGAAUACGAAACAUGGCCAGAAAGGGUCAGAAGUGAAAUAAAUAAAAAAAGAUCAAAUGGGGGUGAAUGGAAAAUAAAUAUAUUCUGAUCCCAUAAUAGAAAUUGAUAAUUUUAACAUCAGAUAAUUAUCUUUGCAAAAAUUGUAAGCCAGUCAUGGGAUAAAGGUAGUAGCGAUAGAACGAGAUUGGUGCACGGCGUGAGGUGUGCGGCGGGAUUCGAUGGUUGGCCGCGCGUCCCACAUGAUCAUACUGUCCCAGCAC